GACGAACCGUGCGAACGUUGUUCGGAAUCACUGGGCUUAAAGGGCGCGUAGGCGGCCCGCCGCGUCCGGGGUGAAAUCCUCCCGCUCAACGGGAGAACGGCCUCGGAUACGGGCGGGCUGGAGGCGGGUAGGGGCGGGCGGAACUGUGGGUGGAGCGGUGAAAUGCGUUGAUAUCCACAGGAACUCCGGUGGCGAAGGCGGCCCGCUGGACUCGAUCUGACGCUGAGGCGCGAAAGCCAGGGGAGCGAACGGG
rnacentral:rRNA from 1 species